CACAGACCACAGCUCUAAGAAACUUAGAGAGCUCCAGCACACCAUGAUCCUCCAAAAAAAACCCCCAAGAAAGAAAACCAAGAAGAGUUGGUGCAUCAGUUUGGUAUAUUCAUCACAUGAAAAGCGAGUCACUGUGCAUAUAUAGUCAUCCAUCAUCUCCACAGGAAGCAAUCAUAUCUACUGUUGUUUUAAGUUCCUUUGAUCUCUCUCUCUCUCUCUUCUCUCUCUCUCUCCAGAUCUCAACCUUGCGGGAUCUUGCCUUUCUGUUUCAUCUCCUUCAUCUGCUUCUUCUUCCUCCCCUUAGUCUCUGAAAUUGAUUCUCAAGAAGUUUCAAGCUUUUUUUUUAAGCUCACCGUCUUUCUCUUCUUGAUUCGCUUCUUUUUCUUUCUUUUCCCUUUUGGCCCCCAAUUCUAGAUCAACUGCGAGCACUACUUCUGAUUAACACUUGAACAAUCCUGAAGUUUUUUUUCUCUUUGUGGCCAGAAACUGAGCAAAGCUAACCUUUUUAGUUUCCUUUUUCCUUACCUUUUUAUCUUUUUUUGACCUGAUGAUCUGUGAACUCUGGGAAGCUGCCCAAUCCUGAUGCAGCUUGUCGAUGCUGUGUGUAUUCGUUCUCUAACGUUGAAAUCUGCACGACCCAACUCUUUCUUUCUCGCUUAGAUUCUUCUCCUCGAAUUUCUAAAAGAAAGCCAAAGUGUCGAUUUUUCUUUUAGCAAACGGGUCUAAGGAGAAAUGGGGUUCAUAUUCUUUUCUCUUCUCUUCUUGUCCUACCUAUUUGCAAAUAACUGGUUUCGAUACAUUUUAAUGGAGCAUCCGGGGGUGCUUAUGGAUCGACAGUCGUUGUUUGCGGGUGUAGCAUCAUCAAGAUUCACAUAUAGUUUUUGCAUCUUCCUCUCGGGGUAAGAUUACUAAAGGUUUUACUUGAAUUCAUGAUUAAAUCGUGGGCAAGUGCAAAAGAAAGGUUCCUUGGAAGUGUGAGAAUCUUGAUGAUGCUGCAUCGGCAAUAAAACGACUCUUGCAAAGUACAACACGAAGCACUCGCUCUCUCUCACGCCUCCCCAUUUCCCAUUUAAAGCCUUAACGAGGAGAUACUAACACUUCCCUUUUUGCAUCAGUACCAUCUAUAUAUUUAAAUACUCAUAAAAAAUCACGGUAUGGAUCUAUUUGCACUCCGCUAAUUUUUUUUCUACUGUUUGGUCUAUACUUGGAGGAAGAAACCCUAAAGAUUCUAUAGGCCUUUUUAUGGAGCAACUUGGGGCUAUUCUCUGACAUUUGCAAGAUUUAUUUUUGCUCUUCUGAGUAAAAAGAAGAGCUUUCAGUUGGAAAAUGAAAGCACAGUUUUUUCUGCAACUGAAGGGAGAAAAUGCGUUGUGAUGUGUGUGGCAUUGUGAUUCAGGCAGUCCCAUUGUUGAAGAGGCUGAUCCAAAAGCUGGGAAGAGAGGUGAUUUGAAUACAGCUUUUUGAUUGGGGACUUCUGGAAUGAGCUGAAAAUGGGGAAGUUCAACGGAAGUUUGCUUUGUGAUCUCUCUACAUCACGCCUUUGUGUAGGGAUCGAUUGUGGUAUGGUAAAGGCUACUCUCACAUACGAUGCAAGAUUAUUAGCAAGAGGAGGUUAUCAAAGGAAAAAGUCGACGUGGCCAUAUUUCUUCCUCUGGCAUGGGAACCAAGCUGGUUGGCAUUCAUAAACUAGAUGCUUCAGAGAAGGUACAAUCUCAGUUGGGUGAUGACUUUAACAGAUAGAGAAAGUUUGAUGGUCCCCCGAGGGUUAAAUAAUAAUGGUGGUCCAGGUCCAGGUCCAGAAGAGGGUGUACGAAAGGAGACAUUGCAUGGGAAAGUUCAAAGGACCAUAUUAUUCGUAUUGGCUUUUGCAUGGGCGUGGGAUCUCUCUCGGGGGACACUUCACAUCACUCGACAGAUCACAUAUUCAGCGAUGGCAUCGAGGCAUCGACCGGGCCUGAGCCUACACCAACCCCCCACCACUCCAGUUCUCUUGAUGCGUCUCCUCUUUGUAUCAACGAAUGUGUGUGCCUAUUAACGGCAUAUAUAGCAAGAUGAAAACCAUCCCUUUUUACCCUUUCCCUUUUUUAGCCUGAACCAGUCACAUUUCGUGCAUGGGACUGAUGUUCUCGCGUCAAGUUCGACCAAACUCUAAACCGUUCAUUCUUAGAUUAAGGGAUAAGCAAGGAUUGGUGAGUUUCGGCAUUGAAA